rnacentral:rRNA from 1 species
UACGAAGGGGGCUAGCGUUGCUCGGAAUCACUGGGCGUAAAGGGUGCGUAGGCGGGUCUUUAAGUCCGGGGUGAAAUCCUGGAGCUCAACUCCAGAACUGCCUUUGAUACUGAAGAUCUUGAGUUCGGGAGAGGUGAGUGGAACUGCGAGUGUAGAGGUGAAAUUCGUAGAUAUUCGGAAGAACACCAGUGGCGAAGGCGGCUCACUGGUCCGGUACUGACGCUGAGGUGCGAAAGCGUGGGGAGCAAACAGG